rnacentral:tRNA from 1 species
GGCGGAUUUGAACAAAAGCGACUUAAAAUCGCUCGUUCGUAAGGACGUACCGGUUCGACCCCGGUCGGGGCCACCA